GAAAUUCGCAUCGAAAAGGUCAACGGAAUUUCAUAAUGUUCCAGUUACAGUCGACUGUUUCCAAGAAUUUAAUUCGCACACUUUAUUAUACAUGUAGUAUUUGCGUAAAUAGCCGCUUAUCAGUAUAUUAUACCUUGUUUUCCAGCUAACCGCAUUUGUUGCGCGAUUAAUACAACGACGCAAGGAAAAAUACAAUUGAUGCGGUAUUUGCUCGGGUACAUAUCUUUUCCUCGUACAGAGAACCGUGGACGUCUCUUUGAAUAUGGAGUGCAAAUGACUUUCAGUGAUCAAGAAUUAUUUCGAUAUUUGGUUAAUCUGGAGAUAAUUCUUUGUACAUACUUGGAACGCUUGGGACAAAUGAUGAACUCUACUCGCUUCAUGACGAUGAUGCCACUUCUCACGUCGAAGAUGCAUAUCAGUGUUGUAGAUCACGGCGCGUCACUCGCCGAUGAUGAGAGUACACCUUACUCCCAACAAAAGGAUUUGGAAACUGCAACGACAAUCUCCAACCUCGCAGUUGGCAAAAUCAGUUUGGAUCUCGCCUGGCACCUGUUCGACUUUGAAUCAAAUUUGAAACCAUGUAUCCACGGCAGCCGGUGUACAACAACGUACCUAGGCAAGCUAACUUUGCAGGCUGAAUCUGUGAUCACGUGGGUGUAUAAGUGACGUUUGCGCAUUUUCCUCAACCGAUCGACCGGCGAUGAAACAUCGGGGGAAUAAUGGCACCUGAGGCGUGGGAGUAUCCUGUGCGGGUACCUGUUCCUACGUACAGUCCUGGAAUCACCAGGUUCGGACAGAUUUCAUCAACGUCUGGAACUGGAUGAGUCGUAUAUGCUACGGAAAACCGACCUAAUAUUACAACAGUUUGGUCCCGUUUACUAGCAAGGGAAGUAAUAUGUCAAUAUUAACAAUAAAUUAGUCUGUCGAUA